rnacentral:lncRNA from 1 species
AGUUUACCAAAUGUUACCGGCAUCAUCGUGCUCAGAUCAUGACGAGGCCAUAACCUAUCACGUUCCGCGUGACUAGGUUAUUCCACGACCUCUCACAACUAGCACAUGCCAUCACCAUAUUUCACCAUUGUUAUAAUGUGAGUAGCAUGAUUUCAUGUGAUACUAUUAUCAGCAUAACCUUGCAUCACGUAAUAUAAGCACCACCACAAUCA